AGCAGUAGCCACGGGAAUACAGAGGGUGCGAGCGUUAAUCGGAUUUACUGGGCGUAAAGCGUGCGUAGGCGGCUUCUUAAGUCGGAUGUGAAAUCCCUGAGCUUAACUUAGGAAUUGCAUUCGAUACUGGGAAGCUAGAGUAUGGGAGAGGAUGGUAGAAUUCCAGGUGUAGCGGUGAAAUGCGUAGAGAUCUGGAGGAAUACCGAUGGCGAAGGCAGCCAUCUGGCCUAAUACUGACGCUGAGGUACGAAAGCAUGGGGAGCAAACAGGAUUAGAUACCCGGGUAGUCCCUGUCUCUUAUAC
rnacentral:rRNA from 1 species